CACCGCGGUUAUACGAGAGGCCCAAGUUGACAGAAAGCGGCGUAAAGAGUGGUUAAGGAAUAUCAAAAAAACUAGAGCAGAACGCUUUCAGAGCAGUUAUACGCAUCCGAAAGUAUGAAACCCAAUUACGAAAGUAGCUUUAUCUCCCCUGAACCCACGAAAGCUAAGAAA
rnacentral:rRNA from 1 species